UCCGGUGACAAUAGCGAGAGGGAUCCACCUGUUCCCAUACCGAACACAGAAGUUAAGCCUCUCAGCGCUGAUGGUACUUGGCUGGAAACGGCCCGGGAGAGCAGGACGUUGCCGGAU
rnacentral:rRNA from 1 species